rnacentral:rRNA from 1 species
CCUACGGGAGGCAGCAGUAGGGAAUAUUGCUCAAUGGGGGAAACCCUGAAGCAGCAACGCCGCGUGGAGGAUGAAGGUUUUCGGAUUGUAAACUCCUUUUGUUAGAGAAGAUAAUGACGGUAUCUAACGAAUAAGCACCGGCUAACUCCGUGAAAGUAGCCGCGGUCAUACGGAGGGUGCAAGCGUUACUCGGAAUCACUGGGCGUAAAGAGCGCGUAGGCGGGAUUGAAAGUCAGAUGUGAAAGCCUAUGGCUUAACCAGAGAACUGCAUUUGACACUGUUAUUCUGGAGUAUGGGAGAGGUAGGUGGAAUGCUUGGUGUAGGGGUGAAAUGCGUAGAGAUCAGGAGGAAUACUCAUUGCGAAGGCGACCUGCUAGACCAUAACUGACGCUGAUGCGCGAAAGCGUGGGGAGCAAACAGGAUUAGAUACCCGAGUAGUC